GGUCCCGGGUGAGGGAUGCGAGCAGCAGCUCUAGAGGGGAACUGGGGGAGCGUGGCUCGGUGAGGGCGUGCUCGGAACACCCUCAUCCCCGAACUUGUGUGAUACAGCGUCGCACAAGAAGAAUUCAAAACCGCGAGAAGAGGAGGACGCGGCCAGGCUGCACCCAGCCCCGGCGCCGCUGUUGGGAGGGAGAGGCAGGCCGGGCUGAGCGGGGCCGCGGGGACGCGCGCUCCCGGGCUUCUCCGGAGUCGGCCGGGGCCAGGCCCAGGACUGAGGCCGGACCGCGCGUCCCACCCCUCACACCCCUGGAAACACCCUCAGGGCACUUCUCCUUGCUGCUGCCACAUGAAGAAGGAUGUGUUUGCUUCCCCUUCUGCCAUGAUUUUAAGUUUCCUGAGACCUUCCAGCCAUGCUGAACUGAUUUCCUGAAGACACUAUCACAGUCAAGUGGUCUGCCUGGUACUGAGCCAUCAGACCACCCAGCAUGUCCUCACCCACAUGGACAGGUGACAGGGGGCUCUGAGUAUGCCUCAGUGCACCUUACGCGCCUGUGAAGGUUGGGAGCCUGAGUGCAGCUCCUGUGGCACUGCCCACGGGCAGGGAGAUGCCUCCUCAGUGCUCCUGACCCUCAGUGGAGGAGUGGCCAGCGUGUCUGCUGGCAGUGCGUCCACACAGAUGUCCUGCACCCAAAGGGCAAGUGGGAAACAAAGGAAAAUGUCUGUCUGAAGGAAAAGGCAAAGCAAUUUGGAUUUCUGCGAGAAAAUGAGACUGCAUGUGGCACUGUAAAUCCCCUUGCUGUUGAACUUCUCGCGCCCCCCAAAUACACCCUUCAUAUUGACAUGUCUGGAACCUUAAACUGAACCAAGUUGAAAAGUGAGAUUAAUUAGGGCUGAGUUAACAGUUAACACAUACAAUGAAAUAUUGAAUGAGGCUUACUGAGCAAACAAGAAUAUACAGAAGUGGAGGAGACAAAGAGGAUAUUAAAAAUGCAGAGAGUGAUGAGGCAGAUAGCUGCGACAAAUAAUGAAAAACAGUAAAGGAGAUAAGGCAGAUACUGGAGGAGCAAAGAGUCUCUGAAAUAGAUGUCGGUAUCGAAAGAUGCUAAACACGCUUCUAAAGAGGCUUUCUAGCCGACACAGGGAGCUCACUGAUGGAUGAAGUAGAAACAUUUUUAAAUGGAAUCAAACAGGGCAAAGCGGGAGAAGAAAAAGAAGCAGGUAAACCAGUAAAUUAACUUUCCUUGCGUGUGCCGUAUACUAUUUGUGAGCGAGCAGUGAAUGCUGUGGAUCCCUGGAGGGGCUGGGGGCUGCGGUGGGAGGGUUUCGCUGCAAUGAAGCAGAGGUGGUGCCUUUGGACCUCUUCUCCUGAACCUUCAGGGAGAGACGCAGAAUAUUCAAAAUGUGAAGAUGCAACGAUUCAAAUGAGUGUGCAGGUUUUCAGGGUGGUUGCUAAACCCAAAAAGACCGACAGCUUCGGGCGAAAGACUGCAGAAAGACCAGCUUUAAAUUUUUACUGAAGCAAUGGGAAAUUUACCUCGUAAGCCUUGAAAACUUCCCAAAGGGGUUCCUGUUCGUUCCUGUGGAUCCUAAUGGGCCAGCGUAGACCUGUUAGUCAAAAGAGGAUUUACCUACAUUGCACACUCGUUCGGACUGGCAGGGAAGUCAAUGCCACUUCCAGAUGUUUGCAGGGCAUGAACCCUGUCCGUUCCCACGCCCUCCAAUGGCUGUUACACAGGGAUGCCCACUUCUGGACAGAAGUGAUUCAUGCAAAAUGAGAACCAUGACCACAGAAGGUUUUGUGCAUUUGGUUAUUUCAAUAUUUAAGUGUAUGCAUGAAUGCUCAGGGUAAAAACGCUUGGAGUUUAACUCAAUUAAAAAUGUAUACAUUAUUCAUCUUCUAUGGACUGUCCACCAUGUAACCCAGAGAGCUGAGGGGGUAGAAAUACAUUCAUUCAUUCACUG
rnacentral:lncRNA from 1 species